GUCUUGGUGGGGAAAACGGUUGCACGUUGCAGAGUGAGAGUGGACUAUCGUGAGUGGAGCGAAGAAGACGGAGUGGCUUUGCCAACCAGAGGAAUAGCUGUUCCAAGACCGCCGCCUUGCCUGUGGUCUGUGAAGUUGUCUGGGUGAAUCCCGCUCCUACACACUGCGUUGUUGGAUGUCUGAGGGGUGAAAUCGUUCACCCCUCACGAAGUUAAGUUAUUGUUUACUGUGCUACCUAGCUGUCGCUAACCCCUUGUGACUGUGAACCUUGGAUUACGAUUGUUAUCUUAUUUACAACGAGGGAUUGCCGUUGGAAUCGCUGUAUUCUGCCUUCCCUCGGAGAACUGCCACUGCUCUGCGUCUGCUUAACUUUGUGACUGUGUAGCUGCUAUAUUGUGCACGCCAUUGACUUUGAACGUGCAUGUUGCUUUACCAAGAACUGUUCGAAUGCUUUGUGCUUGUCCGACACAUUUCCCACUGUGACUGUAGCUAUAUUGCACACGCUAUUGAUUUUGCACUGCUUUAUCGGUACUGUUUGAAUGCUUUGGGCCUGCCUGAUAUGAACUCUGUGGCUGUGUAGCUACUAUAUGGCCCACGCUUGUUGAUUGCAAUUGCGUGUUGCCUCCAGAACUGUCCGAUGGCAGCCGCUGCCGUCCAGGGUGAGACUGGAUUACAACCUGGCCUGCUGCGACCAUUGGCGCCCACCGGGGUGGAGAGCCGGCGACACAACGACCAGAGUGGGUUCGGUAGCCUACACUACAUCUGGUAUACAAUUCCGGACCCUCGACUGACAGACUGGAGAAGGGGGCAACUGGCGGCAACGGGGACUAUCCUUCAGUAUUUUCUAUUGCCGAGGAAUAACCUCUUUUAAUGACACUUUAAAUAAAACAUUUCUUAAUUAA